GAAACACGUAUUAAUAAGAAGGUCUUUAUCUGUUUCUCGACAAGAUAAGCAGGUCCGGCCUGUUUUGCGUGUCACGGAUGACUGGCUGCUGUGAGACUUGACAAGACAGAGGCGCGAUCGAGAUAACGCUCAUAAAUCCAGCAUGAACAGGUGAU